rnacentral:rRNA from 1 species
GAAUAUUGGACAAUGGGCGCAAGCCUGAUCCAGCCAUGCCGCGUGAGUGAUGAAGGUCUUAGGAUUGUAAAGCUCUUUCACCGGUGAAGAUAAUGACGGUAACCGGCAAAGAAGCACCGGCUACAUUCGUGCCAGCAGCCGCGGUAAUACGAAGGGGGCUAGCGUUGUUCGGAAUUACUGGGCGUAAAGCGCACGUAGGCGGAUAUUUAAGUCAGGGGUGAAAUACCAGAGCUCAACUCUGGAACUGCCUUUGAUACUGGGUAUCUUGAGUAUGGAAGAGGUGAGUGGAAUUCCGAGUGUAGAGGUGAAAUUCGUAGAUAUUCGGAGGAACACCAGUGGCGAAGGCGGCUCACUGGUCCAUUACUGACGCUGAGGUGCGAAAGCGUGGGGAGCAAACAGG